UUCUGCUCUCUUCUGAAACGAAAAAAUGAGUCGUUAUUUUUUAAUGGGCCUUAAAAACGGGUAUGGACAACAAACAAAAACAGCCAAGGCAAAUUGCAAGGUUCGUACGAACCUUACCUCGGCGUUGUUGACAAACAAUAUACCUUGAAGUCAAAAGGGUGACUUUAUCCUUUUAUCCUCUUUUUUCUCGUUUUUAUAAGCAAAAAUUCCAUGUAGGUAACAAAAGGGGUUGAUGAAUUAUUCGUCUAAUAAUUUUAAUGUGUCAUAUUGAUAAAUCGUUCACUCUUUCUUGCGACGAAAAAUUGAGUCGUAAUUUAAAAUGGGCUAUAAAAAAGGGUAAGGACAAGGGGCAAAAACAGCCAAGACAAAUGUCGAGGUUCGCGUGUGAUGAAAAUAUUAAGCAAAAGUGGAUUUCAGCUUGCAUGCGGUUGCAUUUUCAGGGCCGUUUUGCCUGCUGUUCAUACCCUUUUUUUUCUUCCAUUAUGUGUAUAUAUAUACUGAAUAUAUACUGAAAAUAUACUGAAUGCGAGUACGCGUUGACAAUAAAUCGAAAACUAUAGAGGUGCUACCGUUAAAAUCGUUAAAAGUCAAACCCAAACACACAGACAACGCGAAGACCACGAAGCAAGUGGAUAGUGGAGUAGGCAAAAGUGAAAGAGAAAAUAGAGAGAACGCGAAACGUAACGCAACAAGGCAAUAAACAGUGAGUAAAGCAACCGCUGAAACGACGUGCGACGCGUCGAAAUAAAAGUGUGUAUUAAAAAACCUCAAUAGCACCCACAUUACGACGAGAAAACUCAAACGACAAAACCAUAGUUGAAUUGAGUGAGAAUAAUAUAUAUAUAUAUAUAUAUAUAUAUAUAUAUAGAGAGAGAGAGAGAGAGUAAAUACACCGCUACAAUGUCGGAAGAAGUAGAUCGCAACGAUCCCGAGCUGAAAUACCUUUCGGUGGAACGGAACCAAUACAAUGAUCCGGCCACACAGGCGGAAUGGACACAGAAGCGCCUGGUCUGGGUGCCCCACGAGAAUCAAGUCUUCUGAAAAUGACUAUUCUUAAUGUUGUGAAAAGCCUUCCGAAUCACUUUUUCUGCUGGCUCGUCGGGUAUUUUCAUCUUCACCGCCGCUGAAAUAAUUUUUUAUUAUUUUAUAAAUUUUUUACCCUCGGAAAUAUACCAAAAUAUACCGCAUUUUCAAAAUAUACCGUAAAUUUACUGACGAACUCAAGCUCUAUAAUCCAUA